CGAGUGGCGGACGGGUGAGUAAUGUCUGGGAAACUGCCCGGUGGAGGGGGAUAACUACUGGAAACGGUAGCUAAUACCGCAUAACGUCGCAGGACCAAAGAGGGGGACCUUCGGGCCUCUUGCCACCGGAUGUGCCCAGAUGGGAUUAGCUUGUUGGUGAGGUAACGGCUCACCAAGGCGACGAUCCCUAGCUGGUCUGAGAGGAUGACCAGCCACACUGGAACUGAGACACGGUCCAGACUCCUACGGAAGGCAGCAG
rnacentral:rRNA from 1 species